AUUGACUAAAGCUUUUUAGAAGCAAAUCAUUGUUAAUGCUUAGAAGGAACAGAUUUCCUGGUCAAUA
rnacentral:tRNA from 1 species